CGAAAGCCUGACGGAGCAACGCCGCGUGUGUGAAGAAGGCCUUCGGGUCGUAAAGCACUGUCAGGAGGGAAGAAAACCGGCAAGUCCGGCGUGACGGUACCUCCUAAGGAAGCACCGGCCAACUCCGUGCCAGCAGCCGCGGUAAUACGGAGGAUGCAAGCGUUAUUCGGAAUUAUUGGGCGUAAAGCGUCCGCAGGGGGCUCAUCAAGUCUGCUGUCAAAGGUCGGAGCUCAACUCCGGUUCGGCAGUGGAAACUGGUGGGCUAGAGGGCGACAGGGGUAGAGGGAAUUCCCAGUGUAGCGGUGAAAUGCGUAGAGAUUGGGAAGAACACCGGUGGCGAAAGCGCUCUACUGGGUCGCACCUGACCCUCAGGGACGAAAGCUAAGGUAGCG
rnacentral:rRNA from 1 species